UUCUAAAAGAAAAAGAAAUUAUUAAAAAAGAGGCCAAAAAUUCUGAGAAAGGCAAAUUGUUGAGGGAGGGUUUAACACAACAAAUUUAUAAAUUGGAUAAACAAGCAGUUAUAGAUCCAAGACCAUCUUCAUCUUCUCCAUAUCAGGAACAGCAGGAAUGUGAUUGGGCCCCAAGCAAUCCUAAUAUUGAAUAUAUGUUUGGAGAAGAGAGUGCUACAAUUCCAAAUAAACCUCAAUUUCCAAUACCAAUAAAGGAUCACCUCUUGGAUCACCCAGUAAUUAAUGAAUUUCACAGAGAAGCCCAAUCAAACAUUCAAGGCCCAAGUCGUAAAAGAAAAAGCAGAGUAGUACAAAAAAAUUUAAAAAAGAAUACUUAACAAUUUUUGGAGAAAAAAAAUAAUGCCAUACUGAAAAUUAGAAUAAAGGAAUUGCAAAUUGAGGAAAAAAAACAACAAAUAGAAUCAGAAAAGUUGGAAAUGGAAAAACAAAGACUGUCUUUUGAGCAGGAAAAGCUUGCCAUGGAGAAAGAAGAAAGACAGGCUUUGAUGCAUCUAUUAAAAACCCAAGAAGCACUUGUAAAUGACCUUUUAAAAAAGGUUUUACAAAAAUCGGUAGAAGAUAAGGAUAAGCCUU